CUCUAGUAUUUUCUCUUCUAGGUGACUGCUUGCGCGUCUGAACUCGGCGAGACACGCGAAUAGCUGUGGACUAUCUUCUCUCAACCCAGUUGAACCUGGACCUUGGAAAGUAUGAGCGAUUCCUAGAAAUCAAGCUGACCCAUGAUAAUAAUAUUUCUACCAGAAUGAUUUACCAGGAUGUUAUAAACAGAGAGAGAUAGGUUGUCCCUCACAUCACAGAUGCUAUCCAAGACUAGAUUAAGUGUGUAGCACAUAUACCAGUUGAUGGAAAGUCAGGCCCUGCUAAGCACCAAUAUUGGUCAUUUGGUCUUGGCCUUAAUCUUUGGGGCAGCCUUGAUUUCUUAAAAGCAGUUUGCUUCAAGAGGGUCUGCUACUGUGCCUAUCUAUCACAUUCAAGGGGCAAAACACUUCCUUUUAUUACUGUUGAAGAAGGGUUGAUUUUCAAAUUUGAGCCUUCAAUGUUUGUAUGACUGAGCAUAGAAAAGUUGCUAGUGGUAAAGUUGCAGCCAUGGAGAGGAACAUGAAUAAAUUUAUGUUUUCUGAUGUAUUUUAUUUGAAAUUGCAUAUGAUCUGUACAGUAAAUUUUAGAAAUACAUGGUUAUAGGUGUGCCAAAUUGUUAUUUUUUUUUUAUUUAUU
rnacentral:lncRNA from 1 species